CUGGAAUGUGGAGGGGUGGUAACAGUCCUCACUGCAGAGCCUGGAUGUUUUGUGAUGUCUGACUAAUGCUGCUAGGAGAGGACAUAGGAAAGAAAAGAGUUAUCCAACUUACAGGAAGCAAAGAAGAUAUGAUUGCAAAGGGCUGGCACUGCUUAUGGUUUAAAGACAGACACAAUUUAGAUACCAGUGAGAUCCCAUUGCAGUCAUUCAUGUUUAUAUAGAAGAUGGAGCUUAAUGAGGUCUGUGUGGUCACAGAAAGAUAAAACACUGUGAGAUCAGAUGUGGCCCUGUGUUGUGUGUGAGAGCAAGACCUUUGAGCUUUCACGUGCUUCCUUACUUUACAAGUUCUGAACUCCUGAUGAAUGGCUUGUAACCUUUCAAGCAUCCCUUUGAAGUACCCACUGAAGCAGAGGGGAAGCAAGAGUGGUGUUUCAAACAUACUUACAAGCUGGCACUUGUUGAGAACACCAAACCCGAACUGCCUUUGGAAAAUUAAUCAACAGAAUUUUAUGAAGAGAAGGAAAACCAGAAAAAGUUGUCCAAAGUACUUUUAUGAAGAAUUAUAA
rnacentral:lncRNA from 1 species